rnacentral:rRNA from 1 species
AUGCAAGUCGAACGGUAACAGGUCUUCGGAUGCUGACGAGUGGCGAACGGGUGAGUAAUGCAUCGGAACGUGCCCAGUCGUGGGGGAUAACGCAGCGAAAGCUGUGCUAAUACCGCAUACGAUCUAUGGAUGAAAGCGGGGGAUCGCAAGACCUCGCGCGAUUGGAGCGGCCGAUGUCAGAUUAGCUAGUUGGUGGGGUAAAGGCCCACCAAGGCGACGAUCUGUAGCUGGUCUGAGAGGACGACCAGCCACACUGGGACUGAGACACGGCCCAGACUCCUACGGGAGGCAGCAGUGGGGAAUUUUGGACAAUGGGCGCAAGCCUGAUCCAGCAAUGCCGCGUGCAGGAAGAAGGCCUUCGGGUUGUAAACUGCUUUUGUACGGAACGAAAAGGUCUGGGUUAAUACCCUGGGCUCAUGACGGUACCGUAAGAAU